AGGAUGAACGCUGGCGGCGUGCCUAAUACAUGCAAGUCGAGCGGUAAGGCCACUUCGGUGGUACACGAGCGGCGGACGGCUGAGUAACACGUAGGAACGUACCCCAAACUGAGGGAUAAGCACCAGAAAUGGUGUCUAAUACCGCAUGUGCUCUUCGGAGUAAAGCUACGGCGGUUUGGGAACGGCCUGCGCAAGAUUAGCUUGUUGGUGAGGUAAUAGCUCACCAAGGCGACGAUCUUUAGCUGGUCUGAGAGGAUGACCAGCCAGACUGGAACUGAGAACGGUCCAGACUCCUACGGGAGGCAGCAGUAGGGAAUUUUCCACAAUGGACGAAAGUCUGAUGGAGCAACGCCGCGUGCAGGAUGAAGGCCCUCGGGUCGUAAACUGCUUUUAUAUGUGACGAUUAUGACGGUAGCAUAUGAAUAAGGAUCGGCUAACUCCGUGCCAGCAGCCGC
rnacentral:rRNA from 1 species